UACGUAGGGACCAAGCGUUGUUCGGAUUUACUGGGCGUAAAGGGCGCGUAGGCGGCGUGGUAAGUCAAUUGUGAAAUCUCCGAGCUUAACUCGGAACGGUCAAUUGAUACUGCUGUGCUAGAGUACAGAAGGGGCAAUCGGAAUUCUUGGUGUAGCGGUGAAAUGCGCAGAUAUCAGGAGGAACACCGGUGGCGAAGGCGGGUCUCUGGGCCGAUACUGACGCUGGAGGAGCGAAAAGCGUGGGGAGCAAACAGG
rnacentral:rRNA from 1 species